CAGAGAACAUCCCCCGCUCAGGGCGACUCUCCAACCCAGUGUUAUUUCUGCCUUUGUUGCUUUGGCGGGCCGCCCCCGGCCACCGGCUCACGCUGGUGAGCGCCCGCCGGAGGACCCAACACCCUGAAUUUACAGUACCGUCUGAGCACCAUACAAUAGUUA
rnacentral:misc_RNA from 1 species